UACGGAGGGUGCAAACGUUGCUCGGAAUCAUUGGGCGUAAAGCGCACGUAGGCGGUCCGGUAAGUCGGAUGUGAAAUCCCUCGGCUCAACCGAGGAAGUGCAUCCGAAACUGUCGGGCUUGAGUACGGAAGAGGGUCUCGGAAUUCCCGGUGUAGAGGUGAAAUUCGUAGAUAUCGGGAGGAACACCAGUGGCGAAGGCGGAGACCUGGGCCGAUACUGACGCUGAGGUGCGAAAGCGUGGGGAGCAAACAGG
rnacentral:rRNA from 1 species